GAUGAAGAACGUAGCGAAAUGCGAUACGUAAUGUGAAUUGCAGAAUUCAGUGAAUCAUCGAAUCUUUGAACGCAUAUUGCGCUCUCUGGUAUUCCGGAGAGCAUGCUUGUUUGAGUAUCAGUAAACACCUCAACUUCCAUAUCUUUUUUGAAAUGGGAGUUGGACUUGAGUGAUCCCAACGCUUUUCCUCACCGAAAAGUGGCGGGUUACUUGAAAUGCAGGUGCAGCUGGACUUUUCUCUGAGCUAUAAGCAUAUCUAUUUAGUCUGCCUAAAAAACAGAUUAUUACCUUUGCUGCAGCUAACAUAAAGGAGAUUAGUUCUUGUGCUGACUGAUGCUGGAUUCACAAAGACGGCUUCGGCCGACUUUGUAAACUCGAUCUCAAAUCAAGUAAGACUACCCGCUGAACUUAAGCAUAUCAAUAAGCGGAGGA
rnacentral:misc_RNA from 1 species